UCCGGUUGAUCCUGCCAGGGGUCACUGCUAUCGGGGUUCGAUUAAGCCAUGCGAGUCGAGAGGGUUCGGCCCUCGGCGUACUGCUCAGUAACACGUGGAUAACCUGACCUAAGGAAGGGGAUAACUCCGGGAAACUGGGGAUAAUACCCUAUAGGUUACGGGUGCUGGAAUGCCCUGUAACCGAAAGUUCCGACGCCUUAGGAUGGAUCUGCGGCCGAUUAGGUUGUUGUCGGGGUAAUGGCCCAACAAGCCAGUGAUCGGUACGGGUUGUGGGAGCAAGAGCCCGGAGUUGGAUUCUGAGACACGAAUCCAGGCCCUACGGGGCGCAGCAGGCGCGAAAACUUUACAAUGCGGGCAACCGUGAUAAGGGAACCUCGAGUGCCUGUAUAUGCAGGCUGUCCAGGUGUCUAAAACACACCUGAAGAAAGGGCCGGGCAAGACCGGUGCCAGCCGCCGCGGUAAUACCGGCGGCUCGAGUGGUGGCCACUUUUAUUGGGCUUAAAGCGUUCGUAGCUGGGUUGUUAAGUCUCUUGGGAAAUCCGGCAGCUUAACUGUCGGGCGUCUAAGGGAUACUGGUAAUCUUGGGACCGGGAGAGGUGAGGGGUACUUCGGGGGUAGGAGUGAAAUCCUGUAAUCCUCGAGGGACCACCUGUGGCGAAGGCGCCUCACCAGAACGGCUUCGACAGUGAGGGACGAAAGCUGGGGGAGCAAACCGGAUUAGAUACCCGGGUAGUCCCAGCUGUAAACGAUGCAGACUAGGUGUUUGGACGGCCACGUGCCGUUCUAGUGCCGCAGGGAAGCUGUUAAGUCUGCCGCCUGGGGAGUACGAUCGCAAGAUUGAAACUUAAAGGAAUUGGCGGGGGAGCACCACAAGGGGUGAAGCUUGCGGUUUAAUUGGAGUCAACGCCGGAAAUCUCACCGGGAGCGACAGCAGUAUGAAAGCCAGAUUGAAGGUCUUGCUAGACGAGCUGAGAGGAGGUGCAUGGCCGUCGCCAGUUCGUGCCGUGAGGUGUCCUGUUAAGUCAGGCAACGAUCGAGACCCGCGUCCUCUGUUGCAACCAGCUUUGAGCUGGGCACACUGAGGAGACCGCCACUGAUAAAGUGGAGGAAGGAGCGGGCCACGGCAGGUCAGUAUGCCCCGAAUCUCCCGGGCCACACGCGAGCUGCAAUGGCAAGCACAAUGGGUUCCGACCUCGAAAGGGGGAGGCAAUCUCGAAAGCUUGCCGUAGUUGGAAUUGAGGGUUGAAACCCACCCUCAUGAACAUGGAAUCCCUAGUAAUCGCGUGUCACUAGCGCGCGGUGAAUACGUCCCUGCUCCUUGCACACACCGCCCGUCGUUCCAUCCGAGUGACUCUUGGGUGAGGUGCCGUCUAAUUGGCGGUAUCGAAUCUAAGUUUCACAAGGAGGGAAAAGUCGUAACAAGGUAACC
rnacentral:rRNA from 1 species